rnacentral:rRNA from 1 species
AGUGAACGCUGGCGGUAGGCCUAACACAUGCAAGUCGAACGGCAGCACAGGAGAGCUUGCUCUCUGGGUGGCGAGUGGCGGACGGGUGAGGAAUACAUCGGAAUCUACUCUGUCGUGGGGGAUAACGUAGGGAAACUUACGCUAAUACCGCAUACGACCUACGGGUGAAAGCAGGGGACCUUCGGGCCUUGCGCGAUUGAAUGAGCCGAUGUCGGAUUAGCUAGUUGGCGGGGGAAAGGCCCACCAAGGCGACGAUCCGUAGCUGGGCUGAGAGGAUGAAAAGCAAAACUGGAACUGAGACGAGGUCCAGACUGCUACGGGCGGAAGCACUGGGGAAUAUUGGACAGUGGGCGCAAGCCUGCUCCGGCCAUACCGCGGGGGUGAAGAAGGCCGUCGGAUUGUAAAGCCCUUUUGUUGGGAAAGAAAUCCAGCUGGCUAAUACCCGGUUGGGAUGACGGUACCCAAAGAAUAAGCACCGGCUAACUUCGUGCCAGCCGCCGCAGUAA